CGGUCGUGGACCCGGAGGAAGGAGGUGCAGGGCCGACGCAGUCCCGGGGCCUCCGACCCGACCCCGGAGCGCGUGGCCGGCCCUCUGGAGGCGUCCGGCUGGCUCCUCCACCGCGCUGGGCCGCGCUCUGCCCGGUCCGCGCCUCGCCGCGGCUGACAGCGGGAGAUCGGCACUGGCACUCGGGAGCCUCGCGCGGGCGGGCAGACGCCCUUGGCGAGUCCCUGCAGCCAACCCGGACACCGGACGCCGGACCCCGUCCUGAGCGGCAACCCGCGGCAGAAACCAGCUGGCCGGCCCCCUAGCAGGCGCUAUUCCCCUCUGGGCCUCCUGUGCCCUUUACUUCCUCCUUUUCAAUCAUUUGUAUUUCUUCGCCCGCCAGUCUUACAGUGUGGGGCUUUUCCCCAGUUCAUGCUUCCUGUUUGGUUAACCUGGAAGCGAAGCCUUGUCAGGCGCGUUUCACUCGGGCAGCCCUUCCCAGGGCCGCUGCGCUUCGCCCUUCCCUCUCAGAUCGCAAGCCGCGUUUCCUGUCUGAGACCCGGCCCUGGUGGAGCCGCUCACCCGGGUGCGGUGUCCGAGGACUUCAGGAUCCAUGUGGUUUUUACCGAGUCCGAGUCCGAGUCUGCAUCAAACUCCGUGACCUGAGAGGAGCCCUGGUCCAGCCAGCGGGUGGAGGGAGCGCCAGACCUGCGGCCGAGCCUCCGACCCGAAGGAGGACCUCGGUGGCUCAGGGCUCCUCUGACAGCGCCCUGCCAGGCGGGCGGAGGACACGCCGGGCCACCGAGCUCGCCUCUGCCACGCGGGACAAAGCGUUCGGGGCGCUGGCCGAGGCCGGCAUGAGAGGAGGAACAAGAUGACGAUUUGCUGGAUGCCAGCGGGACCCGGUAUCAGUGUCCUUCAUGACAGUUUCCAUCCACAACGAAACCAGCAUUUUCUCAACAUAAAGCUCAGAUUCAAGCUGGGUACCGUGGUGCACACCUGUAAUCCCGGCACUCGGGAGGCUGAAGCAGGCAGGAUCACCGUGAGCUCAAGGGCAGCCUGGGCUACUCAGUGAGACCUCAUCUCAAAAUAAAACAAAACAGCAGAUUCUAUCUUUUAUUCUCCAACCUCUCAGAUACUUCUAGAACUUAUCCCAGCUGGAGCCAGAUGUCAGGAAAUUCCUGAGGUGUCCGUGUCCCUGCAGGGCUCCAUGGUGGGAUCUCCCUGUCACCCAAGAACAAUCUCCCCACCUCUGGGGAGGCAGCUAAAGAAAUUCCAGUCCAAACCCUCCAGGGAGUCCAGGGAGAAGCGGGUCCCGCACCCCGUGGGUCACAGACGGGGCCCUGAGGCCCGGCCAGGCUGGAGGCCCUGCUGCUGGGGCCUCCGUUUCCAGGGACCCCGUCUCCCUGCCCCCAAGCACUGCUUCUCUCCCUGUGUGACACGUGAGGAAGGCGCCCGAGGCAGGGAGGAGUAGAAAGCACUUUGCAAACACCCG
rnacentral:lncRNA from 1 species